AUUGAACGCUGGCGGCAGGCUUAACACAUGCAAGUCGAGCGGAGCGAGGGUGCUUGCACCUUAGCUUAGCGGCGGACGGGUGAGUAAUGCUUAGGAAUCUGCCUAUUAGUGGGGGACAACAUUCCGAAAGGAAUGCUAAUACCGCAUACGCCCUACGGGGGAAAGCAGGGGAUCUUCGGACCUUGCGCUAAUAGAUGAGCCUAAGUCGGAUUAGCUAGUUGGUGGGGUAAAGGCCUACCAAGGCGACGAUCUGUAGCGGGUCUGAGAGGAGGAUCCGCCACACUGGUGCUGAGACACGGCCCAGACUCCUACGGGAGGCAGCAGUGGGGAAUAUUGGACAAUGGGCGGAAGCCUGAUCUAGCCAUGCCGCGUGUGUGAAGAAGGCCUUUUGGUUGUAAAGCACUUUAAGCGAGGAGGAGGCUACUUAGAUUAAUACUCUGGGAUAGUGGACGUUACUCGCAGAAUAAGCACCGGCUAACUCGGUGCCAGCCGCCGCAGUAACAC
rnacentral:rRNA from 1 species